AUUGAACGCUGGCGGCAGGCCUAACACAUGCAAGUCGAACGAGUGGCGGACGGGUGAGUAAUGUCUGGGACACUGCCCGAUGGAGGGGGAUAACUACUGGAAACGGUAGCUAAUACCGCAUACCAUCAGAUGUGCCCAGAUGGGAUUAGCUAGUAGGUGGGGUAACGGCUCACCUAGGCGACGAUCCCUAGCUGGUCUUCGAGGAUGACCAGCCACAGUGGAACGGAGACACGGUGCAGACUCCUACGGGAGGCAGCAGUGGGGAAUAUUGCACAAUGGGCGGAAGACUGAUGCAGCCAUGCCGCGUGUAUGAAGAGGGCGUUCGGGUUGUAAAGUACUUUCAGCGGGGAGGCGUUACCCGCAGAAGAAGCACCGGCUAACUCCGUGCCAGCCGCCGCGGUAAUAC
rnacentral:rRNA from 1 species